UACAGAGGUCUCAAGCGUCGUUCGGAUUCAUUGGGCGUAAAGGGUGCGUAGGCGGCGCGGUAAGUCGGGUGUGAAAUCUCGGAGCUUAACUCCGAAACUGCAUUCGAUACUGCCGUGCUUGAGGACUGGAGAGGAGACUGGAAUUUACGGUGUAGCGGUGAAAAGCGUAGAUAUCGUAAGGAAGACCAGUGGCGAAGGCGGGUCUCUGGACAGUUCCUGACGCUGAGGCACGAAGGUCAGGGGAGCAAACGGG
rnacentral:rRNA from 1 species